rnacentral:rRNA from 1 species
GAUGAACGCUGGCGGCGUGCUUAACACAUGCAAGUCGAACGAAGCUGCUAAAGGGAAGCCUUCGGGUGGAAUUUUGGUAGACUUAGUGGCGGACGGGUGAGUAACGCGUGGAUAACCUGCCUUAUACAGGGGGAUAACGGAGAGAAAUUUCCGCUAAGACCGCAUAAGACCACAGCACCGCAUGGUGCAGGGGUAAAAUAUUUAUAGGUAUAAGAUGGAUCCGCGUCCGAUUAGCUAGUUGGUGAGGUAGAGGCUCACCAAGGCGACGAUCGGUAGCCGGCCUGAGAGGGUGAACGGCCACAUUGGGACUGAGACACGGCCCAAACUCCUACGGGAGGCAGCAGUGGGGAAUAUUGGACAAUGGGGGAAACCCUGAUCCAGCGACGCCGCGUGAGUGAAGAAGUAUUUCGGUAUGUAAAGCUCUAUCAGCAGGGAAGAAAAUGACGGUACCUGACUAAGAAGCCCCGGCUAACUACGUGCCAGCAGCCGCGGUAAUACGUAGGGGGCAAGCGUUAUCCGGAUUUACUGGGUGUAAAGGGAGCGCAGACGGCGAAGCAAGUCUGAAGUGAAAUGCAUGGGCUCAACCCAUGAAUUGCUUUGGAAACUGUUUGGCUUGAGUGUCGGAGGGGUAAGCGGAAUUCCUAGUGUAGCGGUGAAAUGCGUAGAUAUUAGGAGGAACACCGGAGGCGAAGGCGGCUUACUGGACGACAACUGACGUUGAGGCUCGAAGGCGUGGGGAGCAAACAGG